GACGGGUGAGUAAUGCCUAGGAGAUUGCCCUGAUGUGGGGGAUAACCAUUGGAAACGAUGGCUAAUACCGCAUGAUGCCUACGGGCCAAAGAGGGGGACCUUCGGGCCUCUCGCGUCAGGAUAUGCCUAGGUGGGAUUAGCUAGUUGGUGAGGUAAUGGCUCACCAAGGCGACGAUCCCUAGCUGGUCUGACAGGAUGAUCAGCCACACUGGAACUGAGACACGGUCCAGACUCCUACGGGAGGCAGCAGUGGGGAAUAUUGCACAAUGGGCGCAAGCCUGAUGCAGCCAUGCCGCGUGUGUGAAGAAGGCCUUCGGGUUGUAAAGCACUUUCAGUCGUGAGGAAGGUGGUAGUGUUAAUAGCACUAUCAUUUGACGUUAGCGACAGAAGAAGCACCGGCUAACUCCGUGCCAGCAGCCGCGGUAAUACGGAGGGUGCGAGCGUUAAUCGGAAUUACUGGGCGUAAAGCGCAUGCAGGUGGUUUGUUAAGUCAGAUGUGAAAGCCCGGGGCUCAACCUCGGAAUAGCAUUUGAAACUGGCAGACUAGAGUACUGUAGAGGGGGGUAGAAUUUCAGGUGUAGCGGUGAAAUGCGUAUAGAUCUGAAGGAAUACCGGUGGCGAAGGCGGCCCCCUGGACAGAUACUGACACUCAGAUGCGAAAGCGUGGGGGAGCAAACAGGAUUAGAUACCCUGGUAGUCCACGCCGUACACGAUGUCUACUUGGAGGUUGUGGCCUUGAGCCGUGGCUUUCGGAGCUAACGCGUUAAGUAGACCGCCUGG
rnacentral:rRNA from 1 species